CAAGGACCACUAAAUGGAAGAGAUCAUGUUUCCCUGUGUACAGCCUGAUCUGGCCGUCAGUUCUGCAAGGCACCAAGUCCCUUGGUUUUGAGCAAUGGUUCAGUUCUGUGCCACUCUGGAAAAGCAGGUGGCCUUCACAGAAGCCAGGACCAUGUCAAAUUUAUUCACCCCAGUACCUAGUGGGAUGCAAGGAUGGUGGACAUUUAACUUCCUCACACACUUGGUCUGGGACCGAACCAGUGCACAGAAGUGAGAGAGUCACAUGACCUAGAAUGUUCCUGUUUCUCUUCUGGUACUCCCACCUCCAUCACAAGAAUACCCCGCAUAGUCAUGGCUCCAGA